GUCACCUUCUCUGGAGAUAUUAAAAAACCACCAGGACAUGAUCUUGUGAAACCUGCUCUAGGUAAGGCUGCUUUAGCAAGGAAUUGAACUAGAUGCUCACCAAAGGUCCGCUCCAGCCCCAGCCAUUCUGUGAUGCUGUGAUUCCAUGAUUCCGUGGUUUUGUGAUUAUGUGAAUUGAUGGUACACUAUUAUAUUUCAACAUGGAAAAUCAUCACAUAGGAAGAAGCCUAGUAGGAAUUAAUUCCUCCCAAUAUAUACUGAGUGAAACCUGACCCAAUAAAGCAGAUGCCAUUCUCUCCCAAAAUAUAUGGGGAGGAGUACCAGAAGGCUUUCAUUAUCGUCUGAGUGUGUGGGCCCUUU